rnacentral:rRNA from 1 species
AGCGAACGCUGGCGGCAGGCCUAACACAUGCAAGUCGAACGAAGUCUUCGGACUUAGUGGCGGACGGGUGAGUAACACGUGGGAACGUACCUUUUGGUUCGGAACAACUCAGGGAAACUUGAGCUAAUACCGGAUGAGCCCUUAGGGGGAAAGAUUUAUCGCCGAAAGAGCGGCCCGCGUUUGAUUAGCUAGUUGGUGAGGUAAAGGCUCACCAAGGCUACGAUCUAUAGCUGGUCUGAGAGGAUGAUCAGCCACACUGGGACUGAGAUACGGCCCAGACUCCUACGGGAGGCAGCAGUGGGGAAUCUUGCGCAAUGGGCGAAAGCCUGACGCAGCCAUGCCGCGUGAAUGAUGAAGGUCUUAGGAUUGUAAAAUUCUUUUACCAGGGACGAUAAUGACGGUACCUGGAGAAAAAGCCCCGGCUAACUUCGUGCCAGCAGCCGCGGUAACAC